AUGGACAUGAGGGCUCCUGCUCAGUUUCUUGGGAUCUUGUUGCUCUGGUUCCCAGGUGCCAGAUGUGAAAUCCAGAUGACCCAGUCUCCAUCCUCUAUGUCUGCAUCUCUGGGAGACAGAAUAACCAUCACUUGCCAGGCAACUCAAGACAUUGUUAAGAAUUUAAACUGGUAUCAGCAGAAACCAGGGAAACCCCCUUCAUUCCUGAUCUAUUAUGCAACUGAACUGGCAGAAGGGGUCCCAUCAAGGUUCAGUGGCAGUGGGUCUGGGUCAGACUAUUCUCUGACAAUCAGCAACCUGGAGUCUGAAGAUUUUGCAGACUAUUACUGUCUACAGUUUUAUGAGUUUCCUCC